CAAAUCAUUAGUGGAUCAGUUUUUAAACACCUCAGUUUCACUGCCCGACCCUGAAUUGUCCACCAAUUGACCGCUGAUGAAGGACUGGAGGAUGACUGCCUCAAACCCUGCAGAAGCAAAUUAGCUACUCUCUCUGACUUUACAUCUAUAAGGUCCAAGGUGCCUAAUACACACAGUGAGUGGACACAGUGAUUCACUUGUACCAGCAUAGCACACACUAACACACCACUGCAGUGUCACUGGAUAAAGUUUAAUUCCACAGGAUGCACUUCAUUCCAUGUUACAGCUGACCUGCUGUCUGUAAUUGAAGGCUCAGUGCAGGGUCUAUGCACACCUGCCAAUCCAUACAUAAAACGGCACCACUAGCGUAGCUACCACACUGGAAUUUAAAUGCACAUUUUGCCAGAAGCACAGCAAUAGAAAUGUUCAAAAGGCGCUGAAAUUUCCCUUUAAGGACAGUCAGUGAGGUUUAAACAGCGCCUGAUCCAGCUCAUCAGGAAUUCCUGCACUGCAGAAACGCGCGCGCAGUCACACUCAAUUCAAAUUUAAAAGCCAACGGAAAACCUGAAGGUCGUUUAACGUUCAAACCGACGGCGCAGGGAGUUCAGCGGGCCUUCAACGCUACAGGAGGACACUCGGAGUGACUAACUCUACCAGUCACAGGAGGAAACAGUCCAGCCACAGAUCCAGUAUUUACAGCCUUACAUUCAGUGCUGACAGUGUUCUAGGAGUAGUGCAGAGGGAGUGGGAGGAGCUGAUGGAGAAACUGGACAAGGUUCAGUCUGUACUUCAGGCCCAGCAGCUCAAAAUGGCCACAGAGAUCGAUGACCUCAGCCACACCAAGAGCGCUCUGGAGAAGCAGCUCAUCAAGCUCAUCAAGUUGUACAGGAGGAUGGAUGUGUAGGAGUGCUGCUGCAUGGACAUGGAGAAAUUCACCUGCGCUGAACUCACCAGCCCACAAGAACCUUCAACUUCACCAAGACAAAUACACAUGGCCAGCCCUCUGCCUGCCAGCACGCCUGGAGUUACAGUUAUACACAACACACCUCUCACAACCAGCCACCAUCAAAACAAAAUCAUAACCCACUAUACAGAUGUACACGUCUCACAAUUAGCCACCACCAUAUAACCCACACCCAGAAUUACAGGUACAGAAGCGAUUCUCAGUGUAAGUUCUUGGAAGUUAAUGCUCUAUCAAGUCUUAUUUAAUUCAUUAGUUAAUAUUAACCCUUGUGUGGUGUUCAUGUUUUUGUUACUCAGUGGUCUGCUGGA